rnacentral:rRNA from 1 species
AGUGAACGCUGGCGGUAGGCCUAACACAUGCAAGUCGAACGGCAGCACAGUAAGAGCUUGCUCUUACGGGUGGCGAGUGGCGGACGGGUGAGGAAUAGAUCGGAAUCUACUUUUUCGUGGGGGAUAGCGUAGGGAAACUUACGCUAAUACCGCAUACGACCUACGGGUGAAAGCAGGGGAUCUUCGGACCUUGCGCGAUUGAAUGAGCCGAUGUCGGAUUAGCUAGUUGGCGGGGUAAAGGCCCACCAAGGCGACGAUCCGUAGCUGGUCUGAGAGGAUGAUCAGCCACACUGGAACUGAGACACGGUCCAGACUCCUACGGGAGGCAGCAGUGGGGAAUAUUGGACAAUGGGCGCAAGCCUGAUCCAGCCAUACCGCGUGGGUGAAGAAGGCCUUCGGGUUGUAAAGCCCUUUUGUUGGGAAAGAAAAGCAGCAGGUUAAUACCCCGCUGUUCUGACGGUACCCAAAGAAUAAGCACCGGCUAACUUCGUG